rnacentral:lncRNA from 10 species
AAUGAACCUAUUAAAGUCUUGUGUCGGAGAGUUGAAAUAUUAAAUGAACACAGAGGAGAGAAGUUAAACAGGGUAAAGAUGGUGGAAAAGGAAAAGGAUGCCUUAGAAGGAGAGAAAAACAUAGCUAUCGAAUUUCUUACCUUGGAAAAUGAAAUAUUUAGAAAAAAGAAUCAUGUUUGUCAAUAUUAUAUAGAAACAUGAAGACUGAAGUGAAAAAAAAUCUCUAAAUAUUGUUUUGUGUGACUGAAUGUGUUAGCUCAUGCCUGUAAUUCCAGCACUUUGGGAGGCUAAGGCAGGAGGAUCACUUGAGGCUGGGAGUUCAAGACCAGCCUGGGCAACAUAGCAAGACCCCAUCUCUACAAAAAAAGGAAUUAUGUGGUGAACUUAUCCAAUGUGAGGACUAUCUGGCUGUGACACCUGUCAUCCCGUUGAUCACCAGGGUUGAAUUUAUUAAAUUAGGCAUAUUAAUUCAUUGAAGUUGACUUUUUAGUAUCCUGCUUUAAGUUGGGAGUUAUGAGUUGCAGAAACGAAUUGCUGAAAUGGAAACUCAAAAGGAAAAAAUUCAUGAAGAUACCAAAGAAAUUAAUGAGAAGAGCAAUAUACUAUCAAAUGAAAUGAAAGC